UUGAUCCUGGCUCAGGAUGAACGCUGGCGGUCUGCUUAACACAUGCAAGUCGAACGCAACCUUCGGGUUGAGUGGCGGACGGGUGAGUAACGCGUGAGAAUCUGCCUUGGGGUCGGGGACAACCACUGGAAACGGUGGCUAAUACCGGAUAAGCCUUUGGGUAAAAAAUUUAUUGCCCCAAGAGGAGCUCGCGUCUGAUUAGCUAGUUGGUGAGGUAAAAGCUCACCAAGGCAGCGAUCAGUAGCUGGUCUGAGAGGACGAUCAGCCACACUGGGACUGAGACACGGCCCAGACUCCUACGGGAGGCAGCAGUGGGGAAUUUUCCGCAAUGGGCGAAAGCCUGACGGAGCAAGACCGCGUGAGGGAGGAAGGCUCUUGGGUUGUAAACCUCUUUUCUCAGGGAAGAAGCUCUGACGGUACCUGAGGAAUCAGCCUCGGCUAACUCCGUGCCAGCAGCCGCGGUAAUACGGAGGAGGCAAGCGUUAUCCGGAAUUAUUGGGCGUAAAGCGUCCGCAGGUGGCGAUUCAAGUCUGCUGUCAAAGCACGGGGCUUAACUCCGUUAAGGCAGUGGAAACUGAAUAGCUAGAGUGCCGUAGGGGUAGAGGGAAUUCCCGGUGUAGCGGUGAAAUGCGUAGAGAUCGGGAAGAACAUCGGUGGCGAAAGCGCUCUACUGGACGGCAACUGACACUCAGGGACGAAAGCUAGGGGAGCGAAUGGGAUUAGAUACCCCAGUAGUCCUAGCUGUAAACGAUGGAUACUAGGUGUAGCUUGUAUCGACCCGAGCUGUGCCGAAGCUAACGCGUUAAGUAUCCCGCCUGGGGAGUACGCACGCAAGUGUGAAACUCAAAGGAAUUGACGGGGGCCCGCACAAGCGGUGGAGUAUGUGGUUUAAUUCGAUGCAACGCGAAGAACCUUACCAGGGCUUGACCUGUCCGGAAUCCCGGUGACAGCUGGGAGUGCCUUCGGGAGCCGG
rnacentral:rRNA from 1 species